UUUAAAAUGGCGCUGGAGUUGGCCACUUCGUAUUCUCCUUGCUACUUAGACGUCCACAGCUCGGCGGUUCUGCCAGCAAAGAUCAGACCCAUGGGUAAACCUGGAGACGCCUGCUGUUCGUCAGCACUGACUCAUACCGAGAUGAACGAGGAUGGAGGAGGAGGAGGAGGGCGAAGGAGAUGAGAUUGAAGGCAGCUGCCAGCCAUGGAGAUGAUCAUUUUCAAGAUUCAACUUAAGACAGAGCCCUGCUACCUUUUGAAACUUAUAAAAGACCAACACUCGUCUUUUCACGGGCAACAUGGGAGAGAAGCACCAACAAGGAAUGAAGAAAAGGCCAUGCCAACGCUGCGGGUCACCGUCAGGUCAUUCCAACAGAACCUGUUAAAUAAUUCAAGCACUGGACUGGAGGGCUGGGACCCACAUGUCACACACAAUGAGGAAGCACGCGACACUAAACUCCAGCCAGACUCUCACAGCUCAUCAUCAACUGCCAACGGGUAAUGAACCUAAAUGACCUGACAUGAGCAGAGAGGGAUAAAUUAAGUGCGGUGGGACUGCAGAGCAUGCACAGAGGACGGUCCCUUUAUUCUUUAUCUAAUGUUUACCUAAUGCUGAAUCACUUAAAGGAAAAGUUUGACAUUCUGUAUUUCCAUUUCAGUUUUUUCUCUAAAGGGUAACCUCAAUGUUACUGAACACAGAGACACAGGACUCUCUCAGACAUAUACAGCUUGUUUAUGCUCUGGGCACCAGUUUUAAUCAUUUCAACUACAUUUCUGAGAAAUCAUGUUCUCUUUGUGUUUUUGAUACAGUGGACAGGGGCUAAAUACAACAAU